GAUGAAGAACGUAGUGAAAUGCGAUAAGUAAUGCGAAUUGCAGAAUUUCCGUGAGUCAUCGAAUCUUUGAACGCACAUUGCGCCCACUGGUAUUCCGGUGGGCAUGCCUGUUCGAGCGUCAUUAUCCUCCCUCAAACCCCGGGUUUGGUGUUGGACCCAAGUUGUGUGAACAACUGGUCUCAAGACAAUGACGGCGUCCGUGGGACCCUCGGUGCAACGAGCUUUUAGGAGCACGCGCCGAGUUGCAAGGACCUUCCGGGCCGGUCUCCUUUACUAUUUUACAAGGUUGACCUCGGAUCAGGUAGGAAUACCCGCUGAACUUAAGCAUAUCAAUAAGCGGAGGA
rnacentral:misc_RNA from 1 species